rnacentral:rRNA from 1 species
CAGUCGCCGCGGGAAUACGGAGGGUGCAAGCGUUAAUCGGAAUUACUGGGCGUAAAGCGCACGCAGGCGGUCUGACAAGUCAGAUGUGAAAUCCCCGGGCUUAACCUGGGAACUGCAUUUGAAACUGUCAGGCUGGAGUCUUGUAGAGGGGGGUGGAAUUCCAGGUGUAGCGGUGAAAUGCGUAGAGAUCUGGAGGAAUACCGGUGGCGAAGGCGGCCCCCUGGACAAAGACUGACGCUUAGGUGCGAAAGCGUGGGGAGCAAACAGGAUUAGAUACCCCUGUAGUCCCUGUCUCUUAUAA